rnacentral:rRNA from 1 species
GACGAACGCUGGCGGCAGGCCUAACACAUGCAAGUCGAACGAGGGGCGGGCGGGUGAGUAAUGUCUGGGAAACUGCCUGCUGGAGGGGGUUAACUACGGGAAACGGUAGCUAAUCCCGCAUACCAUCGGAUUUGCCCAGAUGGGUUUAGCUAGUAGGGGGGGUAAAGGCUCACCUAGGCGACGAUCCCUAGCUGGUCUGAGAGGAUGACCAGCCACACUGGGACUGUGAGACGGGCCAGACUCCUAGGGGACGCAGGGGUGGGGAAUAUUGCAAUAGGGGAGAAAGCCUGAUGCAGCCAUGCAGCGUGUAUGCAGAAGGCCUUCGGGUUGUAAAGUACUUUCAGUGGGGAGGCGUUACCCGCAGAAGAAGCACCGGCGAACUCCGUGCCAGCCGCCGCGGUAAUUC